rnacentral:rRNA from 1 species
CCUACGGGAGGCAGCAGUGGGGAAUAUUGCACAAUGGGGGGAACCCUGAUGCAGCAACGCCGCGUGAGUGAAGAAGUAUUUCGGUAUGUAAAGCUCUAUCAGCAGGGAAGAAGAUGACGGUACCUGUGUAAGAAGCCCCGGCUAACUACGUGCCAGCAGCCGCGGUAAUACGUAGGGUGCACGCGUUAUCCGGAAUUACUGGGGGUAAAGGGAGCGUAGACGGCGAGGCAAGUCUGGAGUGAAAGCCCGGGGCUCAACCCCGGGACUGCUUUGGAAACUGCCUGGCUGGAGUGCUGGAGAGGCAAGCAGAAUGCCUGGUGUAGCGGUGAAAUGCGUAGAUAUUAGGAAGAACACCAGUGGCGAAGGCGGCUUGCUGGACAGUAACUGACGUUGAGGCUCAAAAGCGUGGGGAGCAAACAGGAUUAGAUACCCCAGUAGUC